GUGGACUUGUCCCAGUGGCUGCAGGGGAUGGAGCUUGGGCAAGUGUGGGGAAGUUGCUGGGAGAGAUUUUUUUUUCCCUCACAGCUGGACUGUGCGGCAGCGACAGGCCAUGAGCCAGCAGACACUGAUGCUGGUCUGUAGAAUGGGGAGGACAAAAGGCCACAAAAAGGGGCCAGAGCGAUGGAUAAAGGAGCCUGCAAGCCAAGCCAGUGGCGGCUUCUGGUCAUGAUGCGGACCCACAGGUGUGAUUACAUCCUGGGACAGCCCUCCUGUCCUGUGCCUGGAAGACAGCUGCCUGCCUUCGUCCAGAAGGGGACGCUCGCUUGGACAUGGGGAAGAGGAUGCAGAAACACACAAGGAGAAGACGACCAUGUGACAGCGGAGGCAGAGACUGGAGAUUCACUGCCACCGACCGAGAAACGCCCGGGGCUGCCAGACACUGAAAGAGGCACGAACUGAGCCUCCCCUAAGGCUUUCGGACGGAGUGUGGCCUCACUGACACCUAAAUUCCAGACUCCUGGCCUCCAGGACUAGGAGAAUAAAACUCUGUUGUUUUAA